rnacentral:rRNA from 1 species
GACGAACGCUGGCGGCGUGCUUAACACAUGCAAGUCGAGCGAUGAAGCCCUUCGGGGCGGAUUAGCGGCGGACGGGUGAGUAACACGUGGGCAACCUGCCUUACAGAGGGGGAUAGCCUUCCGAAAGGAAGAUUAAUACCGCAUAAAAUGCAACUCUCGCAUGAGAGAUGUAUCAAAGGAGCAAUCCGCUGUAAGAUGGGCCCGCGGCGCAUUAGCUAGUUGGUGAGGUAACGGCUCACCAAGGCGACGAUGCGUAGCCGACCUGGGAGGGUGAUCGGCCACAUUGGAACUGAGACACGGUCCAGACUCCUACGGGAGGCAGCAGUGGGGAAUAUUGCACAAUGGGGGAAACCCUGAUGCAGCAACGCCGCGUGAGUGAUGAAGGCCUUCGGGUUGUAAAGCUCUUUGAUUAGGGACGAUAAUGACGGUACCUAAAGAACAAGCCACGGCUAACUACGAGCCAGCAGCCGCCGUAAGAC